rnacentral:rRNA from 1 species
GGGUAGUUUGACUGGGGCGGUCUCCUCCCAAAGAGUAACGGAGGAGCACGAAGGUGGGCUAAUCACGGUUGGACAUCGUGAGGUUAGUGCAAUGGCAUAAGCCCGCUUAACUGCGAGAAUGACGGUUCGAGCAGGUGCGAAAGCAGGUCAUAGUGAUCCGGUGGUUCUGUAUGGAAGGGCCAUCGCUCAACGGAUAAAAGGUACUCCGGGGAUAACAGGCUGAUACCGCCCAAGAGUUCAUAUCGACGGCGGUGUUUGGCACCUCGAUGUCGGCUCAUCACAUCCUGGGGCUGAAGUCGGUCCCAAGGGUAUGGCUGUUCGCCAUUUAAAGUGGUACGCGAGCUGGGUUUAGAACGUCGUGAGACAGUUCGGUCCCUAUCUGCCGUGGGCGUUGGAAGAUUGAAGGGGGCUGCUCCUAGUACGAGAGGACCGGAGUGGACGAACCUCUGGUGUUCGGGUUGUGUCGCCAGACGCAUUGCCCGGUAGCUAAGUUCGGAAUUGAUAAGCGCUGAAAGCAUCUAAGCGCGAAGCGAGCCCUGAGAUGAGUCUUCCCUGAUACUUUAAGUAUCCUAAAGGGUUGUUCGAGACUAGAACGUUGAUAGGCAGGGUGUGUAAGCGUUGUGAGGCGUUGAGCUAACCUGUACUAAUUGCCCGUGAGGCUUAACCAUACAACACCCAAGG